UACGGAGGAUGCAAGCGUUAUCCGGAAUGAUUGGGCGUAAAGCGUCCGCAGGUGGUUUUGUAAGUCUGCUGUUAAAGCGUCAUGCUCAACAUGAUAAAGGCAGUGGAAACUACUCAACUCGAGUGCGUUCGGGGCAGAGGGAAUUCCUGGUGUAGCGGUGAAAUGCGUAGAGAUCAGGAAGAACACCGGUGGCGAAAGCGCUCUGCUAGGCCGCAACUGACACUGAGGGACGAAAGCUAGGGGAGCGAAUGGG
rnacentral:rRNA from 1 species